AUUUAACAUAGAGAAGUCCUUGGAAUUUUACAUAGAUACCCUCGGUCAAAAGAAAGAGACACAACCGAGCCCUCGGGCAAGGUGGAUAGCACUCGGGCGAGUCUGGCGAGGCGGACAGCACUCGGGCAAGUCGGGCGAGGCGGAAAGCACUCGGGCAAGGCGGACAGGGUCGGGUGAGACGGACAGGGGUCGGGCGAGACGGAUAGGGGUGCGCAGCUUACCUUUGGUCCUACGGACGAGGUUUUGUGUCGUUGUCAGGAUUUGCGGAUCAAGACUUAGACUAGUAAAUUUCUUUUAUACGCGUAAGGCCUCAGAUGGUGGCGUGGGAGACACGGGUUUAGACUGGUUCGGGCAAAGGAAGCCCUACGUCCAGUAUCGAGGAUGUUCGUAUUGCCCACGCGGGGUUCUG
rnacentral:lncRNA from 1 species